rnacentral:lncRNA from 1 species
GUCUAGUCCCUAUUCCUUGGCCUUCUGUGCUCCCCUCUCAUCACGAGCCCGGAACUUACCUUGGACUCUUCUGAUGAUGCGGUGACAUUUCCCUAAUGCCAUUGGGAGCCCAUGCAGGCUGGGACUUCGCACCCCUGUCCUAAUAAAGGGUUUGGCACAUGGUACUUGCUCAGCGGUAAUUACAUGCUGGAUUCAAUGAAAGAAGAAGAAAGAUAAAGAGAUACUUGGCAAGAGGAGAGAUUGCCAAUGUGAAAAGAAAGGGCAAUGGGAUGCCGGUGAAGUCCAGCGUAGUGAGAUCGCUCCACGUUGUUAAGAGGCGACAGUGGGAGGAGGCAAUGGGAAGGCGGAAUUCAAUGGCUUUCCUCCUGUGAAUGAGACACUUGACUGGGCCUUACACUGAGAACCUAUUUCUGCCUGGCUGGCGCCCUCCUCCACCUAACCCCCCACGGCUUGACCAUGGCUGAGGCCAAGUCCACCACUCUCUACUCACCCCUUCCUGACUGUGCAAUUGGCAUCUCCCAGUAGAAUGAGGAGUGCUGAGUAUAGUGUGGACCCAAGUAUGUAAAAACACGCCUGGCACAGUAGAUCAUGCCUGUUAUCCCAGCACUUUGGGAGGCCAAGGCAGGAGGAUUGCUCAAGCGCAGGAGUUUGAGACCAGCCUGGGCAACAUAGCGAGACCUUAACUCUACCAAAAUUCAUAAUAAUAAAAAAAAACUUAACCACUUGUGGUGGCACAUGCCUGUAGUUGUAGCCACUUGGGAGGCCAAGAUGGAGGGAUCUCUUGAGCCUGGGAGUUCAAGGCUGCAGUGAACCAAGAUUGUGCCACUACACUCCAGCCUGGGCGACAAGGAGAGAUCCUGUCCCUAAAAAAAUAAAAUUAAAAAUAAGGUAACAUUUGAACAAAAAGCAGUAACUGUGAGAAUCAAAGGACAGCAAGGCCAGCUGAUGUCCCCGCCUGCUGCAGGCCUGUUUCCCCACCUCUGGGCGCUCUCCUGGAUGAUCUACCCUGUUCACAGCAGUGGCUUUAGAACCCUGGGCACCAUGCCAGGGCUCCAGGCAGCCUCACUGUUCAGCUGCAGUGUGGGACCCCCACAGCCUCACCUUGGCCUGUGGCCUCAGGUCCAUGGCCCUGGAGCCCACUUAGGAAGGGCUGUGCCACCUGUGUGGAAACUACUGGUUUUUGGGUCACAAACCAUAUUCCACCAUCAGGGUCACCAUCAUCUUCUCUCAGCUGCCAGUCUUCUCUUUGGACGUACCUCAAAGGAAAGGUGAGAUCAAAGAAAACAAAAUGGAAUAAAAUAAAAUAAAUGGAAGUGCUGAGCCAUCAGUGCCAUUUCUGAGCAAGCACCUUUUUUUUUUAGUUCUAACCCAUUCUGUUGAGAAAAUGUGACUCUGCAAAGACUGGAGAGUGAGAUCUCUGGAAAGUGCUUCCCGUGCAAAACUCCCAUUUUUCAUGUCUCUGAAUCAAUAUUUGUAGAUUGACCCCAUGUGCCGGGGCGAGACACUGCCUCCCGUUGUUCACCUCUGAUCGGAUGCUCCCUUCCUUAUGGAGGCUGCUGGUGCAGGUAAGGGCUUCCUCUCACUUGCUCCCAAGGAGCCCAGAAAGAGUGAUCCCAUCAUGGAGCAGCAGAAAGUUUCCAUUUGUUUGAAGAGGAGAAUAUGCUGGACUCGCUGGAUGAAGCCUUGAGCCGAGAGUCCUGCCCUGUGCCCUGGAGCGGAGCUGAGUGACUCACCCCCUGUUCUCUGCUGGGAGUGGAGGGUCCAUGCGGCUUUCCUCCCUUUCUUUCACCUGGUGUGCAGUUUUACUCACGGCUUCUCUCCUAUCCUCUGACUCAUUGACCUUGAUAGGGAGGGAGGGUUACCUGGAGGCAUUCCAGGAGGCUGACUUCAGCAGUCACCUCCGCCCUGGGCCGCAGGGGCACUGGGGACACCAGUGCGUGACUGCUCCCGGCUUGCUGCUUUCCUUCUCACAUCCACUUUCUAAGGGUAGGCAGUUUUCCUAGGAACUCAGCAAGUCAUACCUUCUCAGAGACUUCUGCAGAGCAGCAAGACAAAGCUUACUCAGAGGCGCCCACAGACCAGGAAGGGCCCCUGUGUGCUGAAAACGGGCCGCCAAAGGAGCCUCUGCCUUCAGCCAGGCUUGGAAGAACACCAGGAAAGCAAAAGUGGAAGCAACCUGAGACCCUCACCGAUGCAGAUGCCCAAACUUGGACUUUUUCAGACACCA